CCUACGGGCGGCAGCAGUGAGGAAUAUUGGUCAAUGGACGAGAGUCUGAACCAGCCAAGUAGCGUGAAGGAUGACUGCCCUAUGGGUUGUAAACUUCUUUUAUAUGGGAAUAAAAUGUUCCACGUGUGGGAUUUUGUAUGUACCAUAUGAAUACGGAUCGGCUAACUCCGUGCCAGCAGCCGCGGUAAUACGGAGGAUCCGAGCGUUAUCCGGAUUGAUUGGGUUUAAAGGGAGCGUAGGUGGCUUGUUAAGUCAGUUGUGAAGGUUUGCGGCUCAACCGUAAAAUUGCAGUUGAAACUGGCAGUCUUGAGUACAGUAGAGGUGGGCGGAAUUCGUGGUGUAGCGGUGAAAUGCUUAGAUAUCACGAAGAACUCCGAUUGCGAAGGCAGCUCACUGGACUGCAACUGACACUGAGGCUCGAAAGUGUGGGUAUCAAACAGGAUUAGAUACCCGGGUAGUC
rnacentral:rRNA from 1 species